rnacentral:rRNA from 1 species
CCUACGGGGGGCAGCAGUGGGGAAUAUUGGACAAUGGGCGAAAGCCUGAUCCAGCCAUGCCGCGUGUGUGAAGAAGGCCUUCGGGUUGUAAAGCACUUUCAGUGGGGAAGAAAGCCUUGGGGCUAAUACCCUCGAGGAAGGACAUCACCCACAGAAGAAGCACCGGCUAACUCCGUGCCAGCAGCCGCGGUAAUACGGAGGGUGCGAGCGUUAAUCGGAAUUACUGGGCGUAAAGCGCGCGUAGGCGGUCUGAUAAGCCGGUUGUGAAAGCCCCGGGCUCAACCUGGGAACGGCAUCCGGAACUGUCAGGCUAGGGUGCAGGAGAGGAAGGUAGAAUUCCCGGUGUAGCGGUGAAAUGCGUAGAGAUCGGGAGGAAUACCAGUGGCGAAGGCGGCCUUCUGGACUGACACUGACGCUGAGGUGCGAAAGCGUGGGUAGCAAACAGGAUUAGAUACCCGGUAGUC